rnacentral:rRNA from 1 species
CACGUAGGGGACGAGCGUUGUCCGGAUUCAUUGGGCGUAAAGCGCGCGUAGGCGGCUCGGAAAGUCGGUCGUGAAAGCCCGGGGCUCAACCCCGGGACUGCGUCCGAUACUUCCGGGCUGGAGGCAGGUAGGGGAGAUCGGAAUUCCUGGUGUAGCGGUGAAAUGCGCAGAUAUCAGGAGGAACACCGGUGGCGAAGGCGGAUCUCUGGGCCUUGCCUGACGCUGAGGCGCGAAAGCUAGGGGAGCGAAC